UGACAGUAUAAAUAUGCAAUGAGUGUUAAUUAUUCAAUGCAUUACCGCAAGGCACUCAAGCACUAUGAUGAUAAGUAUAGUGUAAGAGUACAUAUGAAAAAUAGUAUAGCAACUCACAUUGCAAAGAGUCUGACAAAGCUGAAAUAAAUCGAAAUCUGAAGGAGCGUGCAAACACUGAUAUCUUUACUAGAAAAAUGUUAUUUGACUGAUCUGGAAAAACUAAGGGAAGGUGAAACAUGACAGAAAAAUUAAGGAUUCCUGCUGUGCUUAUAGAAUGAGAAGACGUCAAGAGGUUGAGACUCCAGCAGAUACGAAAGAUUCUGAAAAUCAGCACGCACUACAAAGUACAAUACAAGAAUAAAAACCUUGAAAGUCCUACAGUCAGAAGAAAUGGGGGAAGAUGGGAAAUACUGUCUGAAGGUCAACAGUACAAACCUAUGGAAGAAAAGUGUGAGGAUUUCAGUGAAAAUUAUGGUAUUUUGUGCCUGAGGCGUGCAAAGCAGUGUGGAUGGCUCUCAGGCACUGCUAAUGAACUGUCU
ensembl:lncRNA